AUUGAACGCUGGCGGAAUGCUUUACACAUGCAAGUCGAACGGUAGAGGGGGCAACCCCUCGAGAGUGGCGAACGGGUGAGUAAUAUAUCGGAACGUGCCCAGUCGUGGGGGAUAACGUAGCGAAAGUUACGCUAAUACCGCAUACGAUCUAAGGAUGAAAGCGGGGGAUCGCAAGACCUCGCGCGAUUGGAGCGGCCGAUAUCAGAUUAGGUAGUUGGUGGGGGAAAGGCUCACCAAGCCAACGAACUUUAGCUGGUCUGAGAGGACGACCAGCCACACUGGAACUGAGACACGGUCCAGACUCCUACGGGAGGCAGCAGUGGGGAAUUUUGGACAAUGGACGCAAGUCCGAUCCAGCCAUUCCGCGUGCAGGAUGAAGGCCCUCGGGUUGUAAACUGCUUUUGUACGGAACGAAAAGGUCUCUCUUAAUACGGGGGACUCAUGACGGUACCGUAAGAAUAAGCACCGGCUAACUACGUGCCAGCCGCCGCAGUAA
rnacentral:rRNA from 1 species